CCUACGGGAGGCAGCAGUGGGGAAUAUUGCACAAUGGGGGAAACCCUGAUGCAGCGACGCCGCGUGAGUGAAGAAGUAUUUCGGUAUGUAAAGCUCUAUCAGCAGGAACGAGACAAGACGGUACCUGACUAAGAAGCCCCGGCUAACUACGUGCCAGCAGCCGCGGUAAUAAGUAGGGGGCAAGCGUUAUCCGGAAUCACUGGGUGUAAAGGUAGCGUAGACGGCUGUGCAAGCCUGAAGGGAAAGGCGGGGGCCCAACCCCUGGACUGCUUUGGGAACUGUACGGCUGGAGUGCAGGAGAGGUAAGUGGAAUUCCUAGUGUAGCGGUGAAAUGCGUAGAUAUUAGGAGGAACACCAGUGGCGAAGGCGGCUUACUGGACUGUAACUGACGUUGAGGCUCGAAAGCGUGGGGAGCAAACAGGAAUAGAUACCCUGGUAGUC
rnacentral:rRNA from 1 species